CAGGCUUAACACAUGCAAGUCGAGGGGCAGCAUGGUCUUAGCUUGCUAAGGCCGAUGGCGACCGGCGCACGGGUGAGUAGCACGUAUCCAACCUGCCGUCUACUCUUGGACAGCCUUCUGAAAGGAAGAUUAAUACAAGAUGGCAUCAUGAGUCCGCAUGUUCACAUGAUUAAAGGUAUUCCGGUAGACGAUGGGGAUGCGUUCCAUUAGAUAGUAGGCGGGGUAACGGCCCACCUAGUCUUCGAUGGAUAGGGGUUCUGAGAGGAAGGUCCCCCACAUUGGAACUGAGACACGGUCCAAACUCCUACGGGAGGCAGCAGUGAGGAAUAUUGGUCAAUGGCCGAGAGCCUGAACCAGCCAAGUAGCGUGAAGGAUGACUGCCCUAUGGGUUGUAAACUUCUUUUAUAAAGGAAUAAAGUCGGGUAUGGAUACCCGUUUGCAUGUACUUUAUGAAUAAGGAUCGGCUAACUCCGUGCCAGCAGCCGCGGUAAUACGGAGGAUCCGAGCGUUAUCCGGAUUUAUUGGGUUUAAAGGGAGCGUAGAUGGAUGUUUAAGUCAGUUGUGAAAGUUUGCGGCUCAACCGUAAAAUUGCAGUUGAUACUGGAUAUCUUGAGUGCAGUUGAGGCAGGCGGAAUUCGUGGUGUAGCGGUGAAAUGCUUAGAUAUCACGAAGAACUCCGAUUGCGAAGGCAGCCUGCUAAGCUGCAACUGACAUUGAGGCUCGAAAGUGUGGGUAUCAAACAGGAUUAGAUACCCUGGUAGUCCACACGGUAAACGAUGAAUACUCGCUGUUUGCGAUAUACUGCAAGCGGCCAAGCGAAAGCGUUAAGUAUUCCACCUGGGGAGUACGCCGGCAACGGUGAAACUCAAAGGAAUUGACGGGGGCCCGCACAAGCGGAGGAACAUGUGGUUUAAUUCGAUGAUACGCGAGGAACCUUACCCGGGCUUAAAUUGCAGAUGAAUUACGGUGAAAGCCGUAAGCCGCAAGGCAUCUGUGAAGGUGCUGCAUGGUUGUCGUCAGCUCGUGCCGUGAGGUGUCGGCUUAAGUGCCAUAACGAGCGCAACCCUUGUUGUCAGUUACUAACAGGUUCCGCUGAGGACUCUGACAAGACUGCCAUCGUAAGAUGUGAGGAAGGUGGGGAUGACGUCAAAUCAGCACGGCCCUUACGUCCGGGGCUACACACGUGUUACAAUGGGGGGUACAGAGGGCCGCUGCCACGCGAGUGGAUGCCAAUCCCCAAAACCUCUCUCAGUUCGGACUGGAGUCUGCAACCCGACUCCACGAAGCUGGAUUCGCUAGUAAUCGCGCGUCAGCCACGGCGCGGUGAAUACGUUCCCGGGCCUUGUACACACCGCCCGUCAAGCCAUGGGAGCCGGGGGUACCUGAAGUGCGUAACCGCGAGGAGCGCCCUAGGGUAAAACUGGUGACUGGGGC
rnacentral:rRNA from 1 species